UUUAUAUAUUUGAGGCAUCAAUGAGAACAAUAAGAAAAAAUACAUGGUGGUGGUACAACUUACGUCAAAUGUCGUGAGCUAGCAUCCUAUUAGUGUAUUUUGAAAAAUAAUACGAAAGGCUUGUC
rfam:Galbibacter marinus strain ck-I2-15 contig12, whole genome shotgun sequence.